AUGUAUAUAUACACAGUCUUAGGUGUCCUGUCCCAGGUGCAGCAACAGGAGUCGGGCCCAGGACUGGUGAAGCCCUCACAGACCCUCUCCCUCACCUGCACCGUCUCUGGUUACUCCAUCACCAGUGGUGGUGGUUGGAGCUGGAUCUGCCACCCUCUGCGGAAGGGGCUUCAAUGGCUUGGGCAUGGUCACUACAGCAGAUCAUCAUCAUAUGGCCCAUCCUUCCAAGGCCAUGUCACACUCUCCAAUGACAACUCCACCAGCAUCGCCCACGUGCAGUUGAGCAGCCUGAAGUCCUUGGACACUUCUGUGUAUUUCUGUGCAAGAGACACAGUGAGGGGACGUCUGUGGGAGCCCAGAAAUGAACUUCCCUAUAGGGACAAACAGGACCACCAGGGGAUGCUCAGGACCCACCAAGUUCAGGGCUGA